CGCAUCCCCAGAGCCCUCCCCACCUCCUCCCAGAACCGGCGACUUCGCCUCCCGCCGUGGCCCCCUCUCUUCCCCUCCCCUCGUCGCAGAUCGAGCGACAACCGCGGUGUGGGCGGGCGGCGUCAACGCGCUGCUCCUGCUCAGCCACCCGGGCCCGUCCAUCGCCUGCUCGCCUCCCGCAGCGUCUUCUCCGAUCACGCAACCGACGGUGGCCGCGGCUCCACAAGGCCGUGCGCGACCCAACCAGCGCCAAGCCCUUCGCGCGCGCCCACGCCGGCGUCCCCGCCUAAACCUACUACACCCAGGACCGGGAGGCGAACAGGUGAUGCUCGACGACGAACAUCUGCUCGAGGACACCCUGCUCGACGGUGCUCCUCUUCGCUAGCAUCUCCAUUGCAUGAUAGGGGGAGAGUUCUUGUACUCAGAGCAGCUGUUGAUCUGCAGCAACUCUUGAAGUAUGAUUUAGGAUAAUCAUAGUUUCAGUUUGCCAAGCAGGGAGUAUAAUUUAACUGGAAAGCAACCAACUAUUGCUUUGAACUGGAGUAUAAUUACCAAAGCGGGUCGAAGUGGGACGAUGUGGUUCGGUGGUCAACGGUGGCUGCGCGGGAUGCAGUAUGGUAUGGCUUGAGCAUCUCGAGGAGGGGCUCUCUCCGCAAGGCAUCCUCUACGCCAGUACGUUCUCUGAUCUGAACCUUCUUCUCUUCGCUCAUGCAUGCACCAACGCAGCUGACCUGUCGUUGACCAGCGGCGGAGGUGUUCGAGUAGUCUGUCCCGGGGCUGCGCGUGGAGCACGUUGACGUCUCCGUCUUGCCAUUGGUCAGCACCGCCCUGCCGGCUGGGGUUCUUAUUUGCCAUCGAGGCCUUCCGCAACUGGGACCAUGGUGCCUGAUAGCUUCCUCUCCGGCUGGAUCGGCAGUCUAUCCACCCAGUUUCUAUGGCGUAGCAUCAGAUUAAUAUUGCCAAGCCUGAGCUGGCGGUUCAUAUGGAAGAUCCCAUGGGCCAGCAGCUGGAGCCUGGAAGCAGAUGUUAAUGCUCCAUAGCAGAGAGUUUAGGUAUACAGCAUGCAGUGACUACCAAAUUUUCCAUGUAGGAUAUAAACGGAAAUUGUAAUGGAGAUGGUUGCCAUCAGUUCCAUUUUGUUGCACAUCACAAGCCUUGCACUCAGAUCGUCGCUGUGGCCAGAUCCGGCCGGGGGAGCCGCCAUAGAGCCGACACCUCGGCGGCGCAGCAGCAGCCCGACAGAAGGUGGGUGCUCGAGCUCAUCCAGCAGCUUGUCAUCGACCAGGAGGCCUCUACCUCGACUGCAACCGUCCGUGGUUCUCUAUUGCAAGCACCUUGUAUCUACUGAUGUUCUUCCGCCCAUCUAAAUUCCACAUGUUUUUUUGACGGGAUCUAAAUUCCACAUGUUGUUA